GCUGCCUUAGCUCAGCUGGGAGAGCGCCAGACUGAAGAUCUGUAGGUCUCGCGUUCGAUCCGCGAAGGUGGCA
rnacentral:tRNA from 1 species